UCCUCUUUGCCCUAUCUUCCAUACCCUUUCAAUAUCCUCUUCUCAGAUUAACCAAAAAAAUGGGAAAAAAAACCGUCUAUCUUCUCCAGUCGCCAUUCUCUGUCUAACUAGAGCUUCCAGUCGUCACAACCCCAACAGCACUAGCGUGGCAAGAGGCUCACAGACUGUCUGUAGCAGUGGCGGCGGCGACUUUUCACGGGUUCUCCCUCCGGCAUCCAGGUUUUGAUCUCAAUUGAAAGCGGGAAACAAGUGGUUGUUCUGGAUCUUUUGGAUUUUCCCAUGAAGUGUAAUGUGGAUAUAACCUCAUAAAGCACCAACCCCAAUCUCUGCAAGUAUACAUUUUAAUUAGACAAAGCCUCAUGGUAGCUAAAGUGGUUGUUCUGGAUCUUUUGGAUUUUCCCAUGAAGUGUAAUGUGGAUAUAACCUCAUAAAGCACCAACCCCAAUCUCUGCAAGUAUACAUUUUAAUUAGACAAAGCCUCAUGGUAGCUAAAGCUUCACAUAUUUUUCUGUAAUAUAAGCAUUUUAAUACUUAACAAAAAUCAAAACUCUGAAACAUGUAACAAACACUGUUAAA